UCCGGUUUGUCACCGGCAGUCUCAUUAGAGUGCUCUUUCGUAGCAACUAAUCACAAGGGUUGCGCUCGUUAAUGGACUUAACCAAACAUCUCACGACACGAGCUGACGACGGCCAUGCAGCACCUGUCACUUGGCUCAAUAAAGCACUCUCGCCUUUCGGCAAAAUUCCAAGGAUGUCAAACCCUGGUAAGGUUCUUCGUUUAUCAUCGAAUUAAAGAACAUGAUCCACCGCUUGUGCGGCUCCCCGUCAAUUCCUUUAUGUUUUAGUCUUGCGACCGUACUCCACAGGCGGGAUACUUAACGCGUUAGCUUCGCUACUGGGGGGGUCGAUACCCCCAACAGCUAGUAUCCAUAGUUUACGGCGUGGACUAC
rnacentral:misc_RNA from 1 species